rnacentral:lncRNA from 1 species
GGAAGCCGCCGGGGCCGCCUAGAGAAGAGGCUGUGCUUCGGCGCUCCGGCUCCUCAGAGAGCCUCGGCUAGGUGUGGAAACAGGAAGAGAACUAGAACUGGAAGUAAAGCAUUGAAGAUGUGACUGAAUUGCUGCAAUCUCAUGAUCAAAUUUGAAUGGAUGAGGAGUUGCUUUUUAGGGAUGAGCAAAGAAAGUUGCUCCUUGAGGGCAGGACAGUUCUUAUGGCUUUAUCCGUUGCGUAAGCACAGAGAGGUCUGCGAGGUCAAAACUAUUGUCAUGAUAGCAAGAUGCCUGUCUUUUUCAUUUAUUCUCACGGUGUGCAGAGGCUACAUGAUGUGUGAUGACAUCCUCAUUGAUGUUAAUGAAUGGUGCUAUACUUGAAUUUUCUAAGGUGUCAUUAGGUAGGUUUAGGUAUGCAUACUUGUUUUUAGAAAUUAUUUUUUUCCUUUUUCCCAUUUUUAGAAAUCAACUCAUUUUUUAGGUUAUGCCUUCAGUAAUCUUUGCAACCUCAAUAUUGUGUAAUGGUUACUUUAAAAUACUGUAGUUUUCUUUGUGCCUAAGUAUAAACAUAAGUACAUUUUGUUGUUUUGUUUGCAAUAGUGGUUUAAAUAUUUUCCCAAAAUAUCCAAAUUUAAAAAUUCUACAACUUUAGAAUUUAAUAAAUUUAUUCUAAAAUAUUUAUAUAUUUUUUCAUUUAAGAAUGGAUCGGCUUAAAAAGACUGCUUCUCAUUUACUUACUGGCUAUACCAUCUGUAUACUAAUAAAAAACAAGAUUUGAUUUGGAAGGACUGACUCAAACUAACGAAAAUAUGAAACCUGUCUUUCUGCUUUGGAGAUAUUUACCUAAUCAUGUUCUGCAGUAGAAUAAUUUAGUUCUUUUGUCUUUUUUUGGAGAUGAGGUCUUGCUGUGUUGCCCAGGCUAUUCACAGCUGCCAUCAUAGUGAACUACAGCCUGAAACUCCUGGGUUCAAGAGAUCCUUCUGCCUCAGCCUCCUGAGUAGCUGGAACUAUAGGCAUGCGCCACCAAGCCUGGGCUUUUAAAAAAAUUUUAAAAAGAAUUUUGAGACAGGAUCUUGCCAUGUUGCUCAGGCUAGUCUUCAACUCCUAGCCCUGAGUGAUCUUGCUUUGGGCCUCUCAAAAUGUUGAGUUAAUAGGCGUGAGCCACCAUACCCAGCCAAAAAUUUUUUUAGAGAUGGGAAUGGAAUGAUCUUGAAUAGUGUUGGUGCCACCUAUGUUGUGGCAUCAUUUUGAAACCAAUCAUUCAGAGUGCUUUUUUUGGUAAGGCAUUAUUUUUUAAUGCAGGUAUGCCACUACUGGGAAAAAAAAAAAAACAGGUUUUAAAGCUAGAAAUGAAAAGCUACUUAAGUAUCUUAAAGGAUAAGUUACUUUAUUAUACACUAGAAACAUACACAAUAGCUGAAAAACUUAAAAAAUCUCACACUGCUGAAUGUCUCUGCUGGCUGAAGUGUAAGUAAAAGAUCAUAGUAGUGCCGCUGUUGAGUGAUAAAGCAACUUGUCAUUAAAGAUGUGUGUGCAGACAUGGAUUCUGAGUUAAUAUCUCAUCUGUAGAAGUAUAUAUUUGUCCCUUGCUUUGGGAUUGGUUUCUGGACAGCACUCCCCCACCCUUGCUGGCCAUUUGCCAAGGACACCAAAACCCAAGGAUGUUGAAUUCCCUUUUAUAAAAUGGCGCUGUAUCUGCAUACAACUUACACACAUCCUCCCAUAUACUUUAAAUCAUUUCCAGAUUUCUUAUACUUCAUACAAUGUGAAUGCUAUAUAAAUAGUUGUUACAUUGUGUACUUAUAUUU